UAGGGAAUCUUCGGCAAUGGGGGCAACCCUGACCGAGCAACGCCGCGUGAGUGAAGAAGGUUUUCGGAUCGUAAAGCUCUGUUGUAAGUCAAGAACGGGUGUGAGAGUGGAAAGUUCACACUGUGACGGUAGCUUACCAGAAAGGGACGGCUAACUACGUGCCAGCAGCCGCGGUAAUACGUAGGUCCCGAGCGUUGUCCGGAUUUAUUGGGCGUAAAGCGAGCGCAGGCGGUUUGAUAAGUCUGAAGUUAAAGGCUGUGGCUCAACCAUAGUUCGCUUUGGAAACUGUCAAACUUGAGUGCAGAAGGGGAGAGUGGAAUUCCAUGUGUAGCGGUGAAAUGCGUAGAUAUAUGGAGGAACACCGGUGGCGAAAGCGGCUCUCUGGUCUGUAACUGACGCUGAGGCUCGAAAGCGUGGGGAGCGAACAGGAUUAGAUACCCUGGUAGUCCACGCCGUAAACGAUGAGUGCUAGGUGUUGGAUCCUUUCCGGGAUUCAGUGCCGCAGCUAACGCAUUAAGCACUCCGCCUGGGGGAGUACGACCGC
rnacentral:rRNA from 1 species